rnacentral:lncRNA from 1 species
CUGUACCAUGGGGAAGUGGGCAGGGUUGGCCUGUAUCUGGGGUAUACUCCCUGGGUGGGGUCCUGCUGUAUUCUUGAGAGCAGGAAGUAGGAGGGGCCAGCUGAGAGGUCACUUACCUCUCUGGCACAGGGUGUCUCCCAGCUCCUUUUCACCUGGGCAGAGUCAUGAGUGUUAUUUUCUUCCUUGGUCCCUUCCCAUCACAUAUAACUCCCCUAGACUCCAUAUUCUACUUGGCAUACAUGGUGCCGUACCCUCCUGCUAAAGAGCCCAGCACACCCAUCCUGGCUGGCCCCAUUAGGCUCCUUUGUGUUUGGCUGCUGUUAUGCAUUGUCCUGUCUGUGACUAUACCCAGAGUUGGGAUAGGUCAGGGUGCUGGCUGGGAGGCUGGCUGGGCCCACAGAUGCUUCAUGCUACUUCAGCCCCCGAAGCUCACUCUUCUUCACUCACAACCAGAGGGUAAAGACACUGGAAACGUUAGAAGAGACUAUGGGAUGUACUUACCCAGAGAUGGCGCAGCUCCUGUAUCGCCUUUCUCCCCUGGAGGAAUACAGCAUACUAGCCUUGUCCCAGAGCUGGAAUCCUGCCACAUCCUCUCCUGUACCCCUCCCAGCUUCCAGCCUCUCCCCUAGUCUGUGAGCCCCCAACAUUCUGAUAUGCAUAAUGAUCCGGGGAGACUUUGGGGACCCCUGAAGUAGUGCUUCUGGGAACACCCACCUUUCUUUGUAUUCAAGACUCCCCUUAAGCCAACAAGACCCUAAUCCCAUAUUGCUCCAUGUGGAGCUGUCCUUCCUGGUCCCUUCCUAAGGAGACUUGUUUACUAGGCUCACCUUUAACUCCCGGGGGCCCCAUGGUUCCUGGCUCUCCUGUAGACAGAAGGGGCAUUCUUACAGUGCUGGUUCUUUUUCACUUCAGUGUGUGUGUGUGUGUGUGUGUGUGUGUGUGUGUGUAUCCACCUAUGUGUCCAUCCAUGCGAGCAGAACUUGUAGGAGAGAGAUCUGAAUGCCCAGCCUGUAGGAAGGGGGCAGGCAUGCAUCUGGACAUAGGGGAGGAUGGUGUGUGGGCUCAGGUGCUACUGGCACCACUCUCAAGACCUGUCUGGAUCUUAGGCAGAUAGACCCAUGUGAGAAUUCCCUCUUACCUUUGCUGCCGGCAGGUCCCAUCUUUCCUGGGCUGCCCUGAAAGCCCCGUUCUCCUGUAAACACAAGGACUAAACUGGAUCUCAUCUCCUAGGCUGCCCUUCUAAAAUGUCCCAUCUCCUGCUGCCACAUGUGCAGGCAUAUGCAGGCUGCUGACCUCCCUCUGUCCUCACUGGCACCAGUUCCUACAGGAAGUGCUCUUUCCUGCCCCAGGCCUGAACCCUGAGGUUCAUCGGAGUAGCCAGCUCUCUAACAGCAAUGGCUUCCCCCAUCUCCAACUGCAGCAAGCUGAGCACAGCCCAGGCGGUAGGUGUUUUAAAAAUAACAAGUCUAG